UCCUAUUCCCCAAGUUAUAGUUGAGAAAACUUGACACUCAGAGAUGCUAAUUGAUUUGUUUAAGGCCACUCAGCUAACAAUAACAACGGCAACAGAGCAGUAUUUUAAGAUGUUUAAUAAUAGUUUCAUCUGUGAUCUAUGUGGUUCUCAAACCCCUGUACAACUCAACAACUGAGGGAUGUAAUGAAAGGAAGUCCGCCUUCCCAUCAGUGAAUGCUCUCCGUAUGAUUUCUGCUCACUGGGGGCACCUGAGGCAUGAAACAUCAGCAGGAGAAAGGCACAGAUUUGCCAGAAAGGAAUCACUUGGCUGUCUCUCUAGUUUGUUGUUCCCCACAGAAGAGUCCUUAAUUCAGUGUGGGUGA
rnacentral:lncRNA from 1 species